UACGGGGGGAGCAAGCGUUGUUCGGAUUUACUGGGCGUAAAGCGCACGUAGGCGGCGCAGCAAGUCAGGGGUGAAAUCCCGGAGCUCAACUCCGGAACUGCCUUUGAAACUGCAGUGCUAGAAUCCUGGAGAGGCGAGUGGAAUUCCGAGUGUAGAGGUGAAAUGCGCAGAUAUCAGGAGGAACACCGGUGGCGAAGGCGGGUCUCUGGGCAACAACUGACGCUGAGGAGCGAAAGCGUGGGGAGCGAACAGG
rnacentral:rRNA from 1 species